rnacentral:tRNA from 1 species
GGGGGAGUGGCGGAAUAGGUAGACGCGCUGGGUUCAAAUUUCAGUGAUGGAAACAUCGUGAGGGUUCGACUCCCUCCUUCCCCACCA